rnacentral:rRNA from 1 species
AGUGGCGAACGGGUGAGUAACACGUGGGCAACCUGCCCCUUAGUUGAGGAUAACUAUUGGAAACGAUAGCUAAUACUGAAUACGAUGUACAAACGCAUGUGAGUACAUUGAAAGAAGCGUUUGCUUCGCUAAGGGAUGGGCCUGCGGUGCAUUAGCUAGUUGGUGCGGUAACGGCGUACCAAGGCGACGAUGCAUAUCCGGGCUGAGAGGCUGAACGGACACAUUGGGACUGAGACACGGCCCAAACUUCUACGGAAGGCUGCAGUAGGGAAUUUUUCGCAAUGGGCGCAAGCCUGACGAAGCAAUGCCGCGUGAGGGAUGAAGGUUUUCGGAUUGUAAACCUCUGUUAUAAGGGAAGAAAACCUAGUAUAGGAAAUGAUACUAGCUUGACGGUACCUUAUCAGAAAGGGACGGCUAACUACGUGCCAGCAGCCGCGGUAAUACGUAGGUCCCGAGCGUUAUCCGGAAUUAUUGGGCGUAAAGAGCAUGUAGGCGGUCUAUUAAGUCUGGUGUGAAACCUAGUGGCUCAACCACUAAAUUGCAUUGGAAACUGAUGGA